rnacentral:rRNA from 1 species
GAUGAACGCUGGCGGCGUGCCUAAUACAUGCAAGUCGAGCGAACAGACGAGGAGCUUGCUCCUUCGACGUUAGCGGCGGACGGGUGAGUAACACGUAGGUAACCUACCUAUAAGACUGGGAUAACUUCGGGAAACCGGAGCUAAUACCGGAUAAUAUUUCGAACCGCAUGGUUCAAUAGUGAAAGAUGGCUUUGCUAUCACUUAUAGAUGGACCUGCGCCGUAUUAGCUAGUUGGUAAGGUAACGGCUUACCAAGGCAACGAUACGUAGCCGACCUGAGAGGGUGAUCGGCCACACUGGAACUGAGACAUGGUCCAGACUCCUACGGGAGGCAGCAGUAGGGAAUCUUCCGCAAUGGGCGAAAGCCUGACGGAGCAACGCCGCGUGAGUGAUGAAGGUCUUCGGAUCGUAAAACUCUGUUAUUAGGGAAGAACAAACGUGUAAGUAACUGUGCACGUCUUGACGGUACCUAAUCAGAAAGCCACGGCUAACUACGUG